AUGAACGCUGGCGGCGUGCUUCACACAUGCAAGUCGAACGGAAAGGCCCAAGCUUGCUUGGGUACUCGAGUGGCGAACGGGUGAGUAACACGUGGGUGAUCUGCCCUGCACUUCGGGAUAAGCCUGGGAAACUGGGUCUAAUACCGGAUAGGACGAUGGUUUGGAUGCCAUUGUGGAAAGUUUAUUCGGUGUGGGAUGAGCUCGCGGCCUAUCAGCUUGUUGGUGGGGUAAUGGCCUACCAAGGCGUCGACGGGUAGCCGGCCUGGGAGGGUGUACGGCCACAUUGGGACUGAGAUACGGCCCAGACUCCUACGGGAGGAAGAAGUGGGGAAUAUUGCACAAUGGGCGCAAGCCUGAUGCAGCGACGCCGCGUGGGGGAUGACGGCCUUCGGGUUGUAAACUCCUUUCGCUAGGGACGAAGCGUUUUGUGACGGUACCUGGAGAAGAAGCACCGGCUAACUACGUG
rnacentral:rRNA from 1 species